rnacentral:lncRNA from 1 species
UAUGAUCUUGAAAAAGUUUCAAGAUCUAACCCUGAAACCCUAGAUCUGGUUCCUACAAUUGGUAUCAGAGCCUAGGUUCUUUAUUACAUGAUUAUUUAUACAUGCUUAGAUUAUUUUUUAAAUUAAAUCUAAUUUAUAAUAUAAUUAUUAAAUCUAAAAUUAAAAUUUUAGAUCAAUCACGAACUGCAAGGUUGUCCAGCUGUAAGGUUUACCCCCUACAGUGCAAAGGUUGUCCUAGUUUGUGUAGAUCUAUCUUUAAUCAUAAAUUUGUUAGAUAUGAUUUAGAUUAAAUUUAUAAUUUAUUAGAUUUAAAAGAUAUUUAAAUCUGAAAUAAAAUCUCUUUGUUAAUAUUUUUUGUGC